GCGCGAGUGGCGGAAUUGGCAGACGCGCUAGAUUUAGGUUCUAGUGUCUAAGGACGUGCGGGUUCAAGUCCCGCCUCGCGCAC
rnacentral:tRNA from 1 species